rnacentral:misc_RNA from 1 species
AUUCCGUAGGUGAACCUGCGGAAGGAUCAUUACAGAGUUCAUGCCCUCACGGGUAGAUCUCCCACCCUUGAAUAUUUAUACCUUAGUUGCUUUGGCAGGCCGUGGAAACACCAUGGGCUCCGGCUUAUGCGUGCCUGCCAGAGGAAGCAAACUCUGUUUUUAGUGAUGUCUGAGUACUAUAUAAUAGUUAAAACUUUCAACAACGGAUCUCUUGGUUCUG